rnacentral:rRNA from 1 species
GUAGUUAGCCGGUGCUUCUUCUGUGAGUGAUGUCCUUCCUGCCGGCUAUUAACCCGCAGGCCUUCUUCCUCACUGAAAGUGCUUUACAACCCGAAGGCCUUCUUCACACACGCGGCAUGGCUGGAUCAGGGUUGCCCCCAUUGUCCAAUAUUCCCCACUGCUGCCUCCCGUAGGAGUCUGGGCCGUGUCUCAGUCCCAGUGUGGCUGAUCAUCCUCUCAGACCAGCUACGGAUCGUCGCCUUGGUGAGCCGUUACCUCACCAACCAGCUAAUCCGACAUAGGCUCAUCCGAUAGCGCGAGGCCCGAAGGUCCCCCGCUUUCCCCCGUAGGGCGUAUGCGGUAUUAGCCUGGGUUUCCCCAGGUUAUCCCCCACUACCGGGCAGAUUCCUAUGCAUUACUCACCCGUCCGCCGCUCGCCACCAGGGAGCAAGCUCCCCGUGCUGCCGCUCGACUUGCAUGUGUUAGGCCUGCCGCCAGCGUUCAAUCUGAGCCAUAAUCAAACUACUGA